rnacentral:lncRNA from 1 species
UAAACUUUAGCAAAAGUUCCAUGGCCUAAAAGGCGGCCGAGCUCGUAUUUUCCAUACAAAGCCAUGCAUUUCUCCUCAGGUGCCAUUUUUUGGAACAGAAAAAGAUUUUGGUUGAAUUUGUAAAAAAGAGGCUAAAGAUUAAAAAGGGUGUCUGUUUCUGUAAAGGAAAAAGGAAAUGGUUGACACAAAGGGGGAAAACGGGUGAUUGGUUCACCCGUCUUCUACGUGUUUCCGGUGGCAAUUCCUGCCGCCGGCGACUGGUUUUUGGAUUUUUCCGGCAGUCAAAAGGGGAUCAGAAAACCGAUAACCUCUCAUCUCUCUGCAUUCCCGAAAGAGAAUUAGGGUAUUUUUUAGCUAGGGUUUACAGAAAAAAAUCAGAGAAUCAAUGGUAUUUUUUCUUUUGUUGUUUCUCU